AUGACAAUGCUUUCGAUAGUCUGUACUAAAUUACUUUGUACGAAUGCACAUCUCGGCCGUCGGGUAGCUGAUCACCAUUUCAAAGUCUAUAUCCGUGGUUCAAGAAAUGGAAUUUCUAUUCUCGAUUCAGACAAGACACUGAUUUGUUUACGAAACGCUCUUCAUUUUAUAGGAUCUCCCAGUCGUCAAAAAGGUCGUUCCUUCUUUUUAAAGACCAAUCAUUUAUUUAUUUAUGAGAUAACGGAAGAAAUGGCGAGCUAUUUAAGAAGCUAUUUAAGAAAUGUGAAUUCUCAUUGUUUCGAUGAUUCUCAAUGGAAGAUCGGGGCGUUUUUGACCAAUUCUUUUGCAAAUAAAAAAAUUCCGUUCAAGAAAGAAGAAGAUCAAUUUUGGGUUGAACCAACAACCUGA
rnacentral:rRNA from 1 species